UGGUUCUGGCAUCGAUGAAGAACGCAGCGAAAUGCGAUAAGUAAUGUGAAUUGCAGAAUUCAGUGAAUCAUCGAAUCUUUGAACGCACAUUGCGCCCAUUAGUAUUCUAGUGGGCAUGCCUGUUCGAGCGUCAUUAAAUCCCUUAAGCCCCAGGCUUAGUGUUGGGAGACCGCUGUGCCAGCCGCGGCGGUUCCCUAAAUUCAGCGGCGGAGUCGCGGUUUGCUCUGAGCUUAGUGAUUAUUCUAGCUUUUGGGUCCGCUGCAGCUCCCUGCCGUAAAACCCCCAACUUCUUUUGGUUGACCUCGGAUCAGGUAGGAAUACCCGCUGA
rnacentral:misc_RNA from 1 species